rnacentral:misc_RNA from 1 species
AAGUCGUAACAAGGUUUCCGUAGGUGAACCUGCGGAAGGAUCAUUACCAAUAUUAGCGAACCUGGUCGCUUUUGACCAAGGUUUCGUGAAAUUUUGUAUUUAAAACCCACACUUUUAAUUAAAUAAUAAAAUUUAUCGUAUCAAUUAUGAUAAAAAAAAAGAUCACUUUCAACAACGGAUCUCUUGGCUCUC